AAAUUGAAGAGUUUGAUCAUGGCUCAGAUUGAACGCUGGCGGCAGGCCUAACACAUGCAAGUCGAACGGUAACAGGAAGCAGCUUGCUGCUUCGCUGACGAGUGGCGGACGGGUGAGUAAUGUCUGGGAAACUGCCUGAUGGAGGGGGAUAACUACUGGAAACGGUGGCUAAUACCGCAUAACGUCGCAAGACCAAAGAGGGGGACCUUCGGGCCUCUUGCCAUCAGAUGUGCCCAGAUGGGAUUAGCUGGUUGGUGAGGUAACGGCUCACCAAGGCGACGAUCCCUAGCUGGUCUGAGAGGAUGACCAGCCACACUGGAACUGAGACACGGUCCAGACUCCUACGGGAGGCAGCAGUGGGGAAUAUUGCACAAUGGGCGCAAGCCUGAUGCAGCCAUGCCGCGUGUAUGAAGAAGGCCUUCGGGUUGUAAAGUACUUUCAGCGGGGAGGAAGGUGUUGUGGUUAAUAACUGCAGCAAUUGACGUUACCCGCAGAAGAAGCACCGGCU
rnacentral:rRNA from 2 species